rnacentral:rRNA from 1 species
GAUGAACGCUGACAGAAUGCUUAACACAUGCAAGUCAUUGGCGAAGCUGCGCUUGCGCAGUCUAGCCGAGGCGGACGGGUGAGUAACGCGUAAGGAACUUGCCCUGCAGACAGGGAUAACAGACGGAAACGACUGAUAACACCUGGUAUUGUCAGGCUGGCGCAUGCCGGCCUGAUGAAAGGAGACGCUGCAGGAGAGCCUUGCGUCCUAUUAGCUAGUUGGUGGGGUAACGGCCCACCAAGGCGAUGAUAGGUAGCCGGCCUGAGAGGGUGAACGGCCACAAGGGGACUGAGAUACGGCCCUUACUCCUACGGGAGGCAGCAGUGGGGAAUAUUGGACAAUGGGGGCAACCCUGAUCCAGCAAUUCUGUGUGCACGAAGAAGGUUUUCGGAUUGUAAAGUGCUUUCAGCAGGGAAGAAGAAAGUGACGGUACCUGCAGAAGAAGCGACGGCUAAAUACGUG